rnacentral:lncRNA from 1 species
UUCUUGUUCUUAUAUUAUUUCAUAACAGAGGUUAAAUUAUACUGAUAUAAAGUUAAAUCCUCAAAAGUAAAUAAUACUCUCCUGCUGAUAGCUAGAUAUAGAAAGUCUUUCCUUUAAUUCCACUACCUAAAUAGGAAAGUUCUGAUUCAAUAUAGAUGACAAAAAAUCCCAAAAAAAUAAAAAUAAAAAUUCAUGAAUCAAAGCUCAUUCACCCUUGUUGAAAUAUGGUGGUGAAAUAGUGGUAACCAAGUUCUCUAGGACUAAACUCAUCACUGCCAUUAAAAUUCAGGCUGUAAAUGACAAUACUCACCAAAAGAAGAAAAUGAAAAGAAAAUGAGGACAAAAUUAAGAAAAAAAAGGAGAAAAAAACAUACUUUCUCCAAAUUAAACUUUAGCACUUGCUGCAGUUUAAAGAUACUGGCAAUGCUUUUAUUUUCUUGAUGACAAUUUUAUAGGCAGUUGGGAGUAUUAGGUCAAGGGGCGGAACUAGAAGAGCGGAAGGUAUUUUUUUUUUUUUUUUUUAAAUUCUGUUUGAUGAAAAUUCUAUUUCCGCCAUUGUCUCAUGACAUAACCUAAUAACCUAAUAUACAACCUCCGAAGUACCUGUCGCGUUCGAGUUUUCUAUCAAGGGAAGAUGAAAUAGUUGAUACAUAAGCUUCUUCUUCAUUGAUUGUGUCCAACUUUUUAGUCAGUGAACAUUUUGGUAUAGGGAUAAACUUUUGUGGAGCAACUUCUGUUGAGAAUCUCAAUUUAAGAAUUUUGGCCAUUGUAUUAAUUUCUGAUGUUCUUUCAACAAGUCUGAAACAGAAAUUUUUUUUUGUUCGAGAUUGAUAAGGGGGAAAUAAGAGGUGAUAGAAAUUUGAAGUAGCUGUGAUGAUAAGUGAAUUGAAGAUAUGGAAU